GAUGAACGCUAGCUACAGGCUUAACACAUGCAAGUCGAGGGGAAACGACAUCGAAAGCUUGCUUUGAUGGGCGUCGACCGGCGCACGGGGUGAGUAACGCGUAUCCAACCUGCCCCGCCACUUGGGAAUAACCUUGCGAAAGUAAGACUAAUGCCCAAUGACAUUUAUAGAAGGCAUCUGAAAUGAAUUAAAGAUUUAUCGGUGAUGGAUGGGGAUGCGUCUGAUUAGCUUGUUGGCGGGGUAAGGCCCACCAAGGCGACGAUCAGUAGGGGUUCCUGAGAGGAAGGUUCCCCCCAANAUUGGAACUGAGACACGGU
rnacentral:rRNA from 1 species